UUGUGUUAUUUUAUGUUGUGUUUAUUCCCUGUACAGCACUUUGGUCAACUGAGGUUGUUUUAAAUGUGCCAUAUAAAUAAGUAAAGAUUGAGAUUUGGUGGGAAAAAAAAGUUGUGUGGUUUCGGUUAGUUCGGAUUCAGCAAAAACAAACAAAUAAAGUAUCUGGCAAGUCAUCUGGCAACUAUCGUCAAGGUAAAGCACUUAAAUGAUUCUAAAUAUAGAAUAUAUUUGUUUCAUUGGUUAAAAUACAUUUAGCAGACUGUCACGUCUACAUUAAUAUGUUUCUGAGCCAAACUGACGAGGAUAAGUUCCUCAUAUCACUUCAAUAUAACCAAACUAUCCAUUUAAACUAUAUUCACAGACGCAUGGCAUAUUACAGUAUAUCACUGCUUUUUAACUAACAAUGCUUUUUGUUAUCUGUAAUAAAAAAUAACCAUGAAAUGAUAUUUUGUGCUUUCUGUGUCAUUAUAAACUACAUGAAUAAUUGUAUUAGGUUAAUGUAGUGGAGUUUUUAAAGAUUUUUUAAAGAAUUUUUUAAA